rnacentral:rRNA from 1 species
UACGUAGGGUGCGAGCGUUUAAUCGGAAUUACUGGGCGUAAAGCGUGCGCAGGCGGUUAUUUAAGUCAGGUGUGAAAGCCCUGGGCUUAACCUAGGAAUUGCGCUUGAGACUGGAUAGCUUGGAGUGCGGCAGAGGGAGGUGGAAUUCCACGUGUAGCAGUGAAAUGCGUAGAGAUGUGGAGGAACACCGAUGGCGAAGGCAGCCCCCUGGGUCAAGAUUGACGCUCAUGCACGAAAGCGUGGGGAGCAAACAGG